rnacentral:misc_RNA from 1 species
UCUCCAAGAAGUCCUGAGAUUCUUCAUCCAACUUCUUCUCGACGGGUUUCUCAAUAGCCUCGACGCUUUCAGGGACGGUAAUCGGAUCAGAUCUAUUCUUAUUUUUACGAAACAUUGCGAAGAAAAUAAUGAUGCCAAGGACUGUGAUAAGGGCAAUUCCUCCAANNNCGACGACAUAAACCCAUGUUUUAUCGGAGCUUUUUUUGGAGUUAGGAGAUGGUGAUGAAGGAGGCGGUGGUGAAGCUGGAGGCGGAGGUGGUGCUAUUGUUUGAGUACUCGAUGGUGGGUUUUCCAGGGGAAUCAAAAGCGUAGUGAAGGGAUAAAUGACGGCAUUCUGCUCGCUAAGCCCAUUAGCUUCAAGGCU